rnacentral:rRNA from 1 species
UGCCAGCCGCCGCGGUAAUACGGGGGGGGCUAGCGUUAUUCGGAAUUACUGGGCGUAAAGGGCGCGCAGGCGGCAUGGUCAGUGAGAUGUGAAAGCCCUCGGCUUAACCGAGGAACUGCUUCUCAUACUGCCAAGCUAGGGGAUGGGAGAGGAAGACGGAAUUCCCGGUGUAGCGGUGAAAUGCGUAGAGAUCGGGAGGAACACCAGUGGCGAAGGCGGUUUUCUGGACCAUUACUGACGCUGAGGCGCGAAAGCGUGGGGAGCAAACAGGAUUAGAUA